GUGCCGUAUGCUAACACUUUCUGACAAAGUGCUAUUUUGUCAGAUUUACGGUGUUAAAAUUCUGCGGAGAUCUGAAGUGAACUCAAAGUGACGUGAACGCCCUUUGAGGACACAAUAAGCUUUGGGAAAGUAAUGCAACACAGCACUAUUCUUGGACACUCGUCUCACUGACCAGGUCUGCCACGGGGGACCUGCGGUGUAGCUGAAUCUGUCUCUCCACCUCCACCUGCAUGCGGGCCAUGGGCCGGGCCAGAGCCAGAGCCACACGCGCCUCCUCCUGCAGCCGACGCUGUAACCGCCAGAACUCCGAAUCCUCCGAGUCCAGGUCUUCCUCUCCUGUGUCCCGGUCAGACAGAGAUGAACUCUGUUUACUCUAUAGGGAGACAGAGGAAAAACAAACAAAAAAUAACUGCUCAGUUAAGUUUCAUGAGUUUCAGUUUCAAAAUGCAGAACUCUGUGUAAUAGACACUGAAGAACAUUGUGGCGUGUACCAUAGGUGACAAUGGGGUGUCCAGGCUGGUUUCUGUUCUGCUGUCCUCGGCAUCGCUGUCUCUGUCACUGCUG